rnacentral:lncRNA from 1 species
UGUCAGCAAAAAUAUAUUAGCGAGAAUAUAUUAGUUAGAGUCUAUUCUAACAAUAUUUAUAAUAAUAAUAUAUUAUUAUUAUUAUUAAUUAUAAUAAUAAAUAGUUGAUCAAUAAUAUACAAUACCUGACUGUCAAGCUUUAGGUCGACCAGAGCAGUGUGAAUGCUCUGCAUAGCCGGAAGCAAGCAGUCGGAGAGCGAAGUGUCGUUAAACGUCAACACCUCGUUCCCGACGGCAAUGGAGGUGAUUUUAGUAGCCGGGAGGUAGCGUUGGACGUUCGUUUUAACCCAUGACUGAGCCGCAUCCGGAUCUUGCAAUUUCGAUAAGUACUCAUUACCAAUUCCUACAACAAACUCGAUAUCGGUGUUGGCAAAAGCUUUGAGAACUUUCGGAUCCGCAUCAUAGAGCUUCACCUUAUCCGCGCCAAUGCAUUUCAUUAACGGAACUACUUUAUCCGACACGGAGAGCGGUGAGCUGAAGGAAAUGAGAAGGAAUAGCGCGGCGGAGAUGUGGAGGAGGUGGGUGGUGAAAUGGUCCAUGUAGGGUGGCUGGACGGUGGUCGGAAGUGGUGGUGGUAAUUGAAGAAAAGGGAAGUGAUACUGACUGGAAACGUUGCAUGUGGUGUCACUUUGUUGCACAAAAUUCUUAAAGUGAUACAAACACUAGUAUUUAUUUUUGUGACUUGCUUUUACCAUUUCUGUUGGUAAUAAUUAAAAAAUUCAGGAAAACAUGUUCCAUGGUUCCUUACUUAAUUAAGAUGGAUUA